rnacentral:rRNA from 1 species
AGUGAACGCUGGCGGCGUGCUUAACACAUGCAAGUCGAACGAGAACGGAAUAUAGCUUGCUAUAUUUGUCAGCUAAGUGGCGCACGGGUGAGUAAUGUAUAGAUAACCUGCCCUUAAGAAAGGAAUAACAGAUGGAAACGACUGCUAAUGCCCUAUAUGCCUUUAAUACAUAAGUAUGCAAGGGAAACGCUUUAGUGCUUAAGGAUGGGUCUGUAUGGUAUCAGCUUGUUGGUGAGGUAAUGGCUCACCAAGGCUAUGACGCCUAACUGGUUUGAGAGGAUGAUCAGUCACACUGGAACUGAGACACGGUCCAGACUCCUACGGGGGGCAGCAGUGGGGAAUAUUGCACAAUGGACGAAAGUCUGAUGCAGCAACGCCGCGUGGAGGAUGACACAUUUCGGUGCGUAAACUCCUUUUAUAUAGGAAGAUAAUGACGGUACUAUAUGAAUAAGCACCGGCUAACUCCGUGCCAGCCGCCGCAGUAA